rnacentral:rRNA from 1 species
GAUGAACGCUGGCGGCGUGCCUAAUACAUGCAAGUCGAGCGAAUGGAUUAAGAGCUUGCUCUUAUGAAGUUAGCGGCGGACGGGUGGGUAACACGUGGGUAACCUGCCCAUAAGACUGGGAUAACUCCGGGAAACCGGGGCUAAUACCGGAUAACAUUUUGAACCGCAUGGUUCGAAACUGAAAGGCGGCUUCGGCUGUCACUUAUGGAUGGACCCGCGUCGCAUUAGCUAGUUGGUGAGGUAACGGCUUACCAAGGCAACGAUGCGUAGCCGACCUGAGAGGGUGAUCGGCCACACUGGGACUGAGACACGGCCCAGACUCCUACGGGAGGCAGCAGUAGGGAAUCUUCCGCAAUGGACGAAAGUCUGACGGAGCAACGCCGCGUGAGUGAUGAAGGCUUUCGGGUCGUAAAACUCUGUUGUUAGGGAAGAACAAGUGCUAGUUGAAUAAGCUGGCACCUUGACGGUACCUAACCAGAAAGCCACGGCUAACUACGUGCCAGCCGCCGCGGUAA